AAACCCUUUCAAGAGCUGACAGCCCAGGUCAGUGCAGCCUCCGCCACAGCAGCUGAUGUUAUCCCAUUUGUCCGUGUCCUGACACGCUUUCUGGACAGUGAGAGCGAAGAACACCGAGGGAUUCAAACCAUGAAGGCCACAUUCCUCGAUGCGGUUCACACACGUUUUGACCAUGUGGAAACGGAACCCCUCUAUGCCGUGGCAACAAUGCUAGAUCCACGCUACAAAGACAAGUUCCUCACUGCUACCAACCUGGAUCAGGCAAAGGAGGCACUAAAGGUAGAGGUGAUGAAAAUGGAACAAGAACUGAAGACCAUGCCCUCUGGGGAAGGUGUGGCUGAGGCUGAGACAGCAAGGCAAACACCAGAAAUGGAGGCUGGAAGCUCAACCAGCAGCCUGGGCAGCUACUUUGACGAGAUACUGGAGGAGAGCGGCACAGCAGGUCCGUCUGAGCAGCAGAUCACCCCAGGGGCACUGUUUCAGUUGGAGAGCUACCUCAGUGAGCCUCCACUUGGGCGUAAGCACAAUCCUUUUCAAUACUGGAGAGACAAUCAGGCUCGACUACCCACCCUGGCAGCAACAGCAGCCAAGUUUCUCAGUGCUCCUUGCACCAGCGUUGAGAGCGAGAGGCUUUUUAGCGCAGUCUCACUCAUCAUUGAUGAACACAGGAGCAGGCUGACACCUGAGCAUCUUGAAAUGCUCGUCUUUGUAAAAAAGAAUCUCCCCAUCAUGCUCGGACUGCAGCCAGGGCAUACAGUUGAAGGGAGUGUGUAGAUUGAGAUGGAGCAGCAAAGUGUGGAGGAGAUUGGGGAGUAGAAGUCAUUUUUGUUUUUAAAUAGUUCACAAUAUUAUUUGCACUGAUUGUUUUUAAAGCCUUGGUUUACACUUGUUCAAGAGCAGAGUACUGAUGCUGAGUUACUAGACUAUUUUCUACUCAGGUUGUUUGUGUGAUUUGCUUUCUUAAUACAGUUUACAGUAUUAUUUGUAAUGUAAAUGGAGACUGCUAAUGAGCCUCUUUUAUGUCCCUUUUCUCUCUCUGUCUCCACACUAAUUCACUGAUUUGGCUAAUUGGUGCCCACACUCUUUCAGACCCAAACCUGUCAUUACAGUGUCACUACAUCACACAUUUUAUGUACAGGGACAGCAAAUGUGUGUGUCUGUGCUCUGUCCCUUUGGUGUAUGCUUGUAUUUGUAUGUGCUGUCCCUUUUGUGAGUUCAGCCUGUGUACCUCUCUGAGAUCAUUUAUCUCGUCACAUAAGUACAGGCACCCAACGUACAUGUCUUUCACUGUAUUUGUGAACGUGCAUUUGCACUUUACACUGGAAGUGCACGUCUGUGUGACUGUUUGUGUUUGAGUUUGUGUUUGAGUGUUGCAGGGUGCGGGUGUUUGUAUACUGUACUCUAAGAGUGUGAGUGAACUGUGUACAGUUUACAGUAUUAUUUGCACUUUUUACUGUUAAUUGAUGCCAUUUCUGUUUGUUAUUUAUAAUUUUGUCAAUUUUGUGUUUAUCCCUGAAUAAACAGGAAAACUCUUUUCAA